UACGUAGGUGGCAAGCGUUGUCCGGAAUUAUUGGGCGUAAAGCGCGCGCAGGCGGUUUCUUAAGUCUGAUGUGAAAGCCCACGGCUCAACCGUGGAGGGUCAUUGGAAACUGGGGAACUUGAGUACAGAAGAGGAAAGCGGAAUUCCACGUGUAGCGGUGAAAUGCGUAGAGAUGUGGAGGAACACCAGUGGCGAAGGCGGCUUUCUGGUCUGUAACUGACGCUGAGGCGCGAAAGCGUGGGGAGCAAACAGG
rnacentral:rRNA from 1 species